rnacentral:snoRNA from 1 species
CUGCAGUGAUGGAAUUUCUUGGACACCUUUGGAUUACUCAUGAAAAAAACUAGUAUCUGAGGAAC